rnacentral:rRNA from 1 species
CCUACGGGUGGCAGCAGUGAGGAAUAUUGGUCAAUGGACGAGAGUCUGAACCAGCCAAGUCGCGUGAAGGAUGACUGCCCUAUGGGUUGUAAACUUCUUUUAUAUGGGAAUAAAAUGUUCCACGUGUGGGAUUUUGUAUGUACCCUAUGAAUAAGGAUCGGCUAACUCCGUGCCAGCAGCCGCGGUAAUACGGAGGAUCCGAGCGUUAUCCGGAUUUAUUGGGUUUAAAGGGAGCGUAGGUGGAUUGUUAAGUCAGUUGUGAAAGUUUGCGGCUCAACCGUAAAAUUGCAGUUGAAACUGGCAGUCUUGAGUACAGUGGAGGUGGGCGGAAUGCGUGGUGUAGCGGUGAAAUGCUUAGAUAUCAGGAAGAACUCCGAUGGCGAAGGCAGCUCACUGGACUGCAACUGACGCUGAGGCUCGAAAGUGUGGGUAGCAAACAGGAUUAGAUACCCCUGUAGUC